CACACCCGUAUCGUGAUGAGACUCGUGAGUCGGAAUGGUCAUUCAAUUCUCUCUUUUGCAAAUAGUCUUCUGGUUAGGAUUUAUUCCAAGUUUGGGUAUAAAUAUUGGAAAUAAUAUGGAUUCGACGUUUGAUAAAUAACGUGUUUCGGUGAGAUUGAUUGGAACGAAUGAAGGAAACGAUCGGAAUGUGGAAAAAGUGAUUUAUCGAAAGAACGAUUGGAUGCUAACCUAAAAAUGUAUUUUUAAAUCGUAUUGAAAUGACGAAUGAUUACAAUAUUUUAUAAAUAUUUGAUUCCCAUUUCAAGAAAAUUUUAUUUGAGUUUCACUGAAGCUGAAAUACAACUUCAUUGUUAUUGCAAAGAAAUAAAUAAACGAAAGUAAUGAAACACAUAAAAUACAAUAUAUUAAAUGUUAUUAAUAAGUGAGGAAUAAUUAAAUUGACAUAUUAACAUAUUUAUUUAUUUCAACUAUAAUUUCAUUGUAAUUAAAAGCAAAAAUUGCUAUUCUAUCCUGAUUCUAAAUUAUAAAUCUAAGUAAAACAUCUUUUCUUUUUCAACAGAAAUUGUUAUUCUAUCCUGAUUCUAAAUUAUACAUCUUAGUAAAACAUCUUUCUAACAUUCUUCAAAUAUAUUUAAUAAUUUUUUUUCCCCCAAAUUUCUUGAUCAGUACAUGAUGCAAAUUGUCACAAUUUACAUUCCACCCAAGAAAGUCUGGUCUGUUCGAAAGAACAGAAAUCUUUUUCUUAAGGCCAGGGCUACUCGCAGUCGGAGGCACGAUCGUCGCGCGUGACGUCAUCCACCCUCUCCUUGACCAACUACUACGAGAUCCCCGACUGUAUCUCAACAGAGACAGAAAGAUGUCACGUCUACAGGCUUUUCUCGUUCUCUACGAGUGUUCUUUCAAGAAGCCGCGCGUGUUCCCUUCUCUCUGCUUCGUCUGCGAAUCUAUGCUACUCGAAGCUGUUUGCCAAAAGCACAAAGUCACGCUAUAUGAAAAAGACGCGGUUCUUCCAUCCUGCUACGUUCUUUUUUCGCCCGGACUUGUAUAUACGUAUAUAUAUAUAUCAGCUUGGAAAAAAUCCGUCUCUGUUCGGGGACGAGAACAAUAACGUUGCGCACAAUGCGCCAAUUUACCUCUGUGCCAAGUGGCAACCAUCUAUCCGACUCGAACAACGAGAAACGACGAAUUAUCGUCGUUCAAAGAAGGACCAGAGAUGGCCAAAGUGUACUGCGAACCUUGUGAACGUACAGUUAAGUACCCUUAGUGAUUGCCAUUAAUUAAUUCCGGCUUUACAGCCUCCGACCUUCUUCCGUCUUAGCUCCGCCCUUAAUACAUGCACUCAUAGUCGUGACUUCCGUCAUUAAUAAUCUAACGGAGUCUAAUCUAGAAAUUGCUCUUUAAUAUAAAAUAUCCGGGAAAAUUUACUUUACACGAUAAUUUUAACGGGAAGAUGGCGAUUUUCAUUCGUUGGCUGUAGAGAUGUCUCGUCUAGAUAGAUGGAAACACCACAUAAUUGUAAAUUCGUUCUCAAGUUCAACGAUCCAAAGAGGUAUCAAGAGCAUCCUGGUGGACUUAGACCGAUUCUCCUAAGACAAUGAGGAUUAAGGAGGAUCCCGAUCGCGAAUAUAAACGCAAUGGGCUUGUGGAACUUCCCUAUCGUUCGCCUGUUCGCCUCCAAUUGUACACCGAGAGUAUUGCUAAGUUUGUCCCAAUCCCUUAGGUAAUUAGUAGCCUAGAUACACCUGUUUGACCCCACCGACGAACCAAUUUCGGUUACUCGAGCAAGUAUUCACUCUAAGCUUUCAUCAGGACAAAAAUCUUUGAACCUUUUGAACAUUGGACGACGACAAAAAUUCUAGGUAAAGAUAUUUUUCCAGUUUUUAGAUAUUUCUUGAUAUUAAACGAAUUUAUAGGUAUCGAAAGACAAAAUAAUUCUAGGAUAUUAACAUUUCUUAUCGUGGAAUAUCACGAAAUAUAACUCUGUAUAAUAUAAUUCUAACUAUUUAUAAGAAAUUCAAAAGUUUUAAUAUGUAUAUGAGGGAAUAAUUCUAGAGUUUCACAUGAGUCCAACGUUCCAAUGAUUUCUAUGAGCAGGUUUGCUACGUCAGUUCUAAAACAAAAAUAGAUAAUCCGCGGGUGUGAUCGAACGGUAACCAUCGAUCAUGCGAUAUUCCACACUCGAUUGAACAACGUGGCAACAGUACGCAGCCUUUUCGAAUACGAUACUCUCUAUAUUGGCCUGUAAAGCAUUCGCGUGUGACGUUAAUUUAACUUAAUACGUUAAAUUCUACGAGGCAGUUUUUGGGGAUUCAAUAGAUGUGAAAAUGAUCGACACGUUUCAUCCCGGUGGAUCUUUCGUCGCAAACAUUAAAAUGUCGUAAAAAUGGAGAAGGCACUCGCGUGGGAUCGCGUUGAAAUUAUCGAGCGGCUCGCGAUUCCGCGAGUAUUACGGUUCGAAACUUUAUAUCGCGUGAGAAUAAAGCAGACCACGUGGACGGUUUAAUGAAACGUUUUAUCGAGUUUAACUUUAGCUUUCUCUUUGCUCCAAUAGUAGGAGAUUAGUCUUUUCGUGGCCUUGUGAAAUCUAAUUUUUUAAUAGAAUUUCCACUUUUUACACGAGCAUUCGAUGGUACCAAAGAUAGCGAAGGAAACUUUUUAUAGAUUAAAUAUUUUGUACAUUUCCUUCUCUUUUCUUUUUUUAACGAGUAUGGAGAGGAUGAAAUUGAUUAAAAACUCUUCUCUUCGCAAUGUUUUUUUUUUUUUAAUUCAUUUGGCACAAAAUUUUACUUUGCAAUUUUUCUAAAUUUUUGAAAUCGAGGUUUUUAAGAAAGAUUGAGAUGAAAAAAAAUUUUGAAAUUCGACGAUAAAACGAUCUCGAUAACAAGUUUAAUAUUAUCAAAUUAUUUUUUCGAAAUUAUUACAGAACUGUAAAAAUGCAUUAAAGCAAAAUGAUGGAAUUUUUCAAUCGAAUAGAAAAAUCAAAGGAAAAUUUCUCUAUGAACCGUGAAUGGAGAUUAUCGCUUUUUAAAAUAUCAUUAUAUCUAUCAGAAAUUUUUCUAUUUCGUUAUAUAUUUAAAUGAUGUCAAAGAAAAAAAGAAAUGCCCGGAUUAAAGCGAAAUGCAUUCAAUUUCCAUAAAAUUUGUGCGGUAAUCUUGUCAACUAGCGCCACCAAUUUAACUUUUUCAGUAACUCACUUAUACCAAUCAUCCCCAAUGAUAAUUUUCAAAAUUAUCCCUUUAAAAUACAGUAUUUAUAUCGUACCGCAAUUUUCACUUCAAACGCUCCACACUCGCUUAACUAUUCCACAUUAAUAAAAUACUUAAAUCAAACUAUUUAAAUCAGAAUCAAACGAGGCAUGAAUUUAACCGAGAAGAGAAGAAGCAAUAAUAAUUUAUUCAAAAAAAAAAAAAACAUAAACAUUUUACAAAACUCAACAAUUCAACCGUAUGCAACCUCAUCUCUCCGAAAAUACAUAAAGAUAUUCAUCGAACAUUUCACGAAAAAUAUUCGUUAAGGAAUUGAGAUAUCCCUCUCUGGAAAAUUCAAGGCAGAGGCUGUCGCCGUUCACCCGAGCGAUGAAGACGAGAGGGGAAAUGCUUCGUCGAUUUUUCGCAUGUGACGAGAGAAUCCAGGGAAUGCAAGGACAUACGGCUACGCUUCUCAACGAGGAGGCUACGCCUUUCCCUCGAUUUUCAGAAGUGAACCCGGUACUUGGUUGAGAAAAGGUAAGAUACGGCUUGACACACUUUAACCAUUUCUGCGGCGAGAACACCGUGGCGGAAACACCCUUGGGAGGAGCUGGCGUGCAAGAUGCGGGGAGUCCAAGUUUGCCAGCGUCUACUUCCGGCAAGGAAGAACGCGCCUGGACUAUGCGGAGCGAUGCAAGCCUCCCGGCUCGGUUUCUACAUUGAGAAACGUAUUUGUAAACAUACAUCCUACCCACGAGGCUCGAGCAGCCUCGUCGUCGUGUCGCGGUAAAUCCCUGUACAUUAAUAUUAAUGCGUCUUCGGCAUGUACGACAUACUCCUGCCCUCUACACUCAGCUGGUUCUCCGCAUCGCAGAAAGCACGAGAGUUCAACAGAGUUUACGGCACCAACCGUGAACACGAACAACCUCUUCGCAAUAUCUGUGUCCCGUCUCUCUAUUUUCCCUUUCUGCGCGACCGUUUCUUAUGUCGCCUCCCCCACCUCGUUCGGAUAAAAUAAGACCAUUCUUUUUAAUUAGCUUUCUUUCUUUCUUUUUUUUUUUUUUAGAUGUUCGUUGCGGGUUAUAGGAAGAUUUAGAGAUCGUGGUUAAGGAAUAAUUACCGUGGAAAGGAAGAUUGUAAUUUAAAUUCUUUAGAUUUAGCUUUGUUUCUCGAUCUUGUUUGUGAUCGAGAAGAAUUUUAUAAGGACAUUCGUAAAAUUUUAUGGAAAUCAUGGUACAAAGGAGUAGUACGAGUAGUAAAGUUAUAGAUUUAUCAAAAAAUUAUUCUCUUUCAUUUUUGUAAAGCAAUUAUAAACAUUCUGAUAUCUACAAAAUUCUUUAUGUUUAUUGUCUUUUUUUUAUAUUUUCUUCGUUUUAAUAUUUUUAUAGUAUUAUACGCUACAUAUAUUUUUGAAAAAAAAACAAAUUAAAUAUUCGAAAAAUUGUGGAAUAUAUUUAGUUGGAAAUAUAGUAGAAAAAAGAACAAUCGAUAUAGAUCGCAAAUGAUAGAUCUCGCUGUAUCUAGUUUCAAUCGAUGAGAGAGAAAAAGAGAGAGAGAAUUUGAUGAAAUGCAAAAAAAAGGCUGGGGCUAUUGUCAAAUCAAACGAGAGUGGAAACUGACCUGUGAUAGUCAAAAUCCUGCGAGGCAGAGGAAAUAUGACGGAUGCGUUAGUUUUGGCCAGAACGAUUAAACUGGUUGAACGAAUGAAUGGAUAGAAUCAAUGAAUGUACAGGUAAUUUAUUUUAUUCCAAUUUAUAAACUUCUUUCUCCGAAUUAAUAUUCUUAAUCUUCUGUUGAAAACAGAUCAAACGUUGAAUUCCAUGAUCCAUCUAAUCUGGAUUGAUUUUCUCAUUCUCCUCCCAAAUAUUAAGAAAUAUUUUCACGCGUGAAUGUUCAUUUACAAUCUUCUCGACAGCAAUUUUACAAAUCUGCAAAAAACCACGCAAAAUAACUCGUAUUUUUCAACGCAUAAAACGACGAUAUUUCUCAAUGUUUCUCCCUACAUAUACAUACGUAUAUAUAAUUUCCAAUGGAGCAUGGAUUUUCAUAAUCCCAGACACGGCAUUCCCUUGAAAAUAAUGACGCGAGAACAUCCAUUUUAAAAAUCUUGUUUUGCAAAUAUUUCGAAUCAUCUUACCUACAUCUCACGUUCUCUUAGAUUCGCCACGAUAAUUUAAGAAAUUAGAUCGUACGAUAAAUAAUAAAAAGUAAUUCCACUCCACCAUCACCCUUGAAACUCGAUCGAUAUUGCAUCAAGAAUCCAACAUUCGCCAUAUUGUAGAGGGUGUCGUGCGAAAGAGGGACGGCAUCCACCCACGACACGUAUCCAGGCAGCACGUUAUUAAGAGGGCUAACCGUAUUCAGUUGGCGAAGCGUGCAUUACACGCACGGUCCACAUAUGCCGGCAGGUGUAUAGGCAUAUGUGGGGCAACGUCGACGAUGCUCGACGACGGCUGAGCUUCGUUCAGGAUGGCUCGUUACGCAAGCCGAACUGCCACGCGGAAACAGAACUCUCCGGUAUCAAGGGGAAGAGCUGUAGCAACAAGAUGUUAUCACAAUUGCACAGGCGGAAACAAGCAGCGGUGUAAGCCGCGUAAGGAAUGUUCGGAUUAGUUCUCAGACCCGAGUUAAACCCGCCCGUCGUUUUCUCAAAUGCCUGAACGUCGUUUGUUAGAAACGAACGCCUCGAGUAAUACCCGAACGUAUAAUUCACGCGAAUUAAUAUAUCGGACGCAACGUCUCGUCAAAUUAACGUGUACUACGACUGGGCACACACAGAGGUGAGGUUUAACGCGCGUGUAAAGAUUGCCUGUCGUCGAAGGCCUCGGUGCAACACGCGGAACGUUCGUCGACAGAAAGACGUAUAUAUGGUGGUAGAGCACACGUAGAAUAGGCGAGUUUCAUAAGGACGCAAGGAGUUUCGUUGGACAUUGAAGAAAUUUCGCGUAGAAAAGGGAAUAAUGUUUCUUACGUCGUGAUCGUUGUUGGUGGAAAAGUUUCGUGUUUGGCUUGAGGAGGGGAGAGGUUUUUGGAAGUUUGUUUUAAAGUUGAUGCGAGGAUUGGAAUCGCGGGAAGAUGUUUUUGGUUGGUUAAUUUUAUUACUCGUGAUCGGUAUUGUUGAAUGGUGGAUGAUUUAAAUUUAUUGUACGAUAUAUUUAUUAUUUAUUAGAUAAAAAUUUUUUUAUAUAGUUUCAGCGAGUCUAGUUGGAUGAUAUAAAAUUAUUUUUAAUUUAGGAAUAUCUGAAACUCAUUCAACUCUUUUUUUAAUAUUAUUGAACUUUAAAAUAUCAAAGUUCUUGAGUACAGGGAAUUGAAAGAUAUAUUCAACAAUGGAAUAAUCUUAUAUGUUGAAUUUGUAAAUUUUUGUUCAGAAAAAGAUUGUAUUAUACUUGUACGUAAAUUAAAUUUAAAGCUGUUGAGCAUGCAAUUUCUUCGUAUCAAAUAACCACAUUUAUAAUUACGAAAAUUAAAUAAAAUCUUGUUAGUUUAAUAUAUUACAAUAUAUAUAUGUAUAUGUUGUUAUCUCAUUGUAAUAAUUAAUUUGAAGCAACGCACGUAUAAUAUAAUUAAAUAUUAAUUGCUAAUUAUAUAAA